rnacentral:rRNA from 1 species
UACGAAGGUCCCAAGCGUUAUCCGGAUUUAUUGGGUUUAAAGGGUGCGUAGGCGGGCUAUUAAGUCAGUGGUGAAAGCCCCAAGCUUAACUUGGGAACUGCCAUUGAUACUGAUGGUCUUGAGUACAUUUGAGGUGGGCGGAAUGUGUCAUGUAGCGGUGAAAUGCUUAGAUAUGACACAGAACACCGAUUGCGAAGGCAGCUCGCUAAACUGUAACUGACGCUGAGGCACGAAAGCGUGGGGAGCAAACAGG